rnacentral:piRNA from 1 species
UGCCAAACCAUUGACUGGGAUUCAUG